rnacentral:rRNA from 1 species
CUCCCUCGUUGCUGAUCUCAGGUUCGAUGAUGCCAAUAUCGCACCACCUCGCCUAAAACCAACUUCGAUGAAGCGACGGGCGGUGUGUG